CCCUUAGAUGUUCUGGGCUGCACGCGCGCUACACUGAUGCGCUCAACGAGUUUAUAACCUUGUCCGGCAGGAUUGGGUAAUCUUUUUAAAACGCAUCGUGAUGGGGAUAGAUUAUUGCAAUUAUUAAUCUUCAACGAGGAAUUCCUAGUAAGCGCGAGUCAUCAGCUCGUGCUGAUUACGUCCCUGCCCUUUGUACACACCGCCCGUCGCUCCUACCGAUUGAGCAUCCCGGUGAAGACUCAGGAGAUAUGUACGUGGCUGGUCUCCAGCUGCGUUGCGUGCCGAAUUUGUCUAAACCUUGAUGCUUAGAGGAAGGAGAAGUCGUAACA
rnacentral:rRNA from 1 species